CUAAGUCACAUCUGGCGUUAAGUAGGGUCACGCAAUGUUUUUGAGAUGGAAGCAUCAGGAUUUGGUGAUAGACUGUACAUGAGGCAUAAAGGAGAGGUCGGAGUCAAAGAGAACACCUAGGCAGAGAGCCUGCGUGGUGGAGCUGAUGGUAGCACCAUUGAGUUGGAGGGAGACAGAUACAGGAGUAGGAGGGAGGAAAGACCAGAAUUUCAGUUUUGAGCAAGUUGAAUUUAAAGAAGUGGGCAGUCAGUUAAAAAUAGCAGAGAGGCAGUCAGAGAUACUAGUCAAGAGGGAUGGGGAGAGAUCUGGAGAGGACAGAUUGAUUUGCAUGUCAUCCUCAUAGAAAUGAUAUUGGAAGCCAAAGGAGCCACUGAGUUUACCAAGGGAGGAGGUAUAGAUGAAAAACAGAAGGGGACACCAACAGAGAGGUGUUGGGUAAAAGAAGCAGAGCCAGAGAAAGAAACACUGAAAGAGCGCUGGGAGAGGUAGGAGGAGCACCAGGAGAGAGCAAUAUCUUGUAGACCGUGUUACGGUACCUUCAGCAUGAAAUGUACAAACCGCCGUUUAGUGAAU